rnacentral:rRNA from 1 species
GUGCCAGCCGCCGCGGUAAUACGUAGGUGGCAAGCGUUGUCCGGAUUUACUGGGCGUAAAGAGCGCGCAGGCGGUCGGAUAAGUCGAAUGUGAAAGCCCCCGGCUCAACUGGGGAGGGUCAUUCGAUACUGUUCGACUCGAAGACAGGAGAGGGAAGCGGAAUUCCCGGUGUAGUGGUGAAAUGCGUAGAUAUCGGGAGGAACACCAGUGGCGAAGGCGGCUUUCUGGCCUGUUCUUGACGCUGAGGCGCGAAAGCUAGGGGAGCAAACGGGAUUAGAUACCCCCGUAGUCC